rnacentral:rRNA from 1 species
GUCUGGAGACAGGUGCUGCAUGGCUGUCGUCAGCUCGUGUCGUGAGAUGUUGGGUUAAGUCCCGCAACGAGCGCAACCCUUGCCUUUAGUUGCCAGCAGUUCGGCUGGGCACUCUAAAGGGAACUGCCGGUGUUAAACCGGAGGAAGGUGGGGAUGACGUCAAGUCCUCAUGGCCUUUAUGACCAGGGCUACACACGUACUACAAUGGCCGAUACAAAGGGCAGCGACACUGCGAGGUGAAGCCAAUCCCGUAAAAUCGGUCUCAGUCCGGAUUGGAGUCUGCAACUCGACUCCAUGAAGUUGGAAUCGCUAGUAAUCGUGGAUCAGCAUGCCACGGUGAAUACGUUCCCGGGCCUU